GAGGGUAGAGCUCAGAGGUAGAGCGCAUGCUUAGCAUAUAUGAGGUCCUGGGUUCAAUCCCCAGUACACCCG
rfam:Camelus ferus unplaced genomic scaffold scaffold2020, whole genome shotgun sequence.